rnacentral:tmRNA from 1 species
GGGGCUGCCUGGUUUUGACAGCAUAGGUCUUUGAAAGUGUAAGCAUGUCGUGCGUUGGAUAAUUAGCACGUUAAUCUGAAUAUUCAAACUUUAAAUGGCGAAUCUAACUACGCCAUGGCUGCCUAAUCAGAGAUUAGACACCCAUUAUAGCCGCCUGGAGUUGUCGCCUUAUGCGACUCCCGCCGCUGAAUCAUCAAACCCAUAGGGAUAGGUACUCAUGGUUUCUGUGAGUGAGUACUGAAGCUACAACGGAUAAGAACGAGGUUGGUUAGUUGCGCCCCUGCUGAGUUCCGACAUACCAAUGCGUAAAUAAACAUGUAGAAGCCUUUCGACGAAUAUGUUUGGACACGGGUUCGAUUCCCGUCAGCUCCACUA